rnacentral:lncRNA from 1 species
GAUGAAGUUACUUGCCAAAUCCCUAAUUUUUUCCUAGUUUGCCCCAGGGUGAGGUACCCAAUCUAGCGGGAUAUAUUUAUUCAUUUUUUCAUGUCUCUAACUUUUGCCUGGACCGCCCUUUCGGGUUUUCAAUCCCACGAGACGCUCAUUUUUGCCUAAGUCGCCCUUUCGGGUUUUCAACUUAGCGAGCUAUUCUUUUUUUUAUUUUUAGGCGAAGUAUUUCUUGACUGCAUCUAAA